rnacentral:rRNA from 1 species
UACGUAGGGUGCGAGCGUUGUCCGGAAUUAUUGGGCGUAAAGAGCUCGUAGGCGGUUUGUCGCGUCGACUGUGAAAACUGGGGGCUUAACUCUCAGCUUGCAGUUGAUACGGGCAGACUUGAGUUCGGUAGGGGAGACUGGAAUUCCUGGUGUAGCGGUGAAAUGCGCAGAUAUCAGGAGGAACACCAGUGGCGAAGGCGGCGAUCUGGGAAGAUACUGACGCUGAGGUGCGAAAGCGUGGGGAGCAAACAGG